CAAGCCAAUAUUCCAUUUACCUCUACAACAAAAAGUUUUUAAGUAAACAAUCCUAAUGCACGCAGCCAAAUAAAAUGCAGUAAGAAUAUUCAACUUAAAAAUCUGAAAGCCAACUUGGUGAAUUGCCUCCUUAGGUGAAGUUCCAUGCUUUACUAUAGUUGACACAACUCAGCAAAAGCUUCCAUACAACAGAUUUCGAAAAUGAUGAUGCCAAUAGAUACUCAUUCAAUCCAUUGAAACUCCAAAGGUUCAUUGUUCAUAGAAGUUUACAGAGUUUUGGUCAUCAAAUAGCUCAGACCUAAUCCCAAACAAAAAACGAGUGAAAAUUAGAUCACGAGCAGCUAAUUGUAAAUUCUAACUUAACUCUUCAUCUCCUUUGUAAACAAGAAACAAAAUGGAGACACGCAAAAUGAAUAUGGAGAAAAUUUGAACUCAAAUGAAAUGAGGCACGAAAGCAAACAAAUGGCAUGCACAAAAAAACCAAGCCUCGAUAAAAAACUAAUUAACCAUUAAGAAAAAAAUUGGUCAGAGAAUGAACUCCAAAUUCAGGAGUCAAGCAAGAAGCUUUCAUUAUUUCAGAAGCUCCUGUACAAAUUAAUAAGUUAUGCUCUUUGGAUGCAAACCUAAAUUCCAAGAGAAACAGAACCCAAAAAAUUUGCAAUUAUACGCAAAGGAAGUGAAGCACAGGAUUCUAUCACACAUAGGAAUUGUAUAACAAGAGAUCGAUAUAUCGAAUUAGAAAACUCAAUUCGAAUUUGUGUCAAAAAUCAAAAUUAGAAGAUUUCACAUUUCGAGAGGAACAAGCAACAGAUGAAGUUGAAAAUUUUCAGCCAUAACAUGCUAAAAAUGCUACACUUAACGGUUCAUUUUCAUGGAUUUUCUCGGGAAACAAACAGAAAAUUACGGUUUAGAGAGUUGAAUGACCUUUUGGCUUUUGAAAUUGAGAAGAUCGCGCGCCAAAUUGGAAGAGGGAAAGUGAGAGUGCGAGUUUUAAU
rnacentral:lncRNA from 1 species